rnacentral:rRNA from 1 species
AGCGAACGCUGGCGGCAGGCCUAACACAUGCAAGUCGAACGGAUCCUUCGGGAUUAGUGGCGGACGGGUGAGUAACACGUGGGAACGUGCCCUUUGGUUCGGAACAACUCAGGGAAACUUGAGCUAAUACCGGAUGUGCCCUUCGGGGGAAAGAUUUAUCGCCAUUGGAGCGGCCCGCGUCGGAUUAGCUAGUUGGUGAGGUAAAGGCUCACCAAGGCGACGAUCAGUAGCUGGUCUGUGAGGAUGAUCAGCCACAUUGGGACUGAGACACGGCCCAGACUCCUGCGGGAGGCAGCAGUGGGGAAUCUUGCGCAAUGGGCUAAAGCCUGACGCAGCCAUGCCGCGUGAAUGAUGAAGGUCUUAGGAUUGUAAAAUUCUUUCACCGGGGAAGAUAAUGACGGUACCCGGAGAAGAAGCCCCGGCUAACUUCGUGCCAGCAGCCGCGGUAACAC